GAUAGAGACCGAAAAGAGAGAGAAACGCAGAUAUGGAUAGGGUAUUUUCGGCGGAGGAAAUUUCCGACCAUUUCUGGCCAUCCCAUGCAUCUUCGGCAAGCGACGGACAGAAGACGGCGAUGAACCGAAGCUCCUCUGAAUGGGCUUUCCAGAAAUUCCUACAAGAAGCUUCCGUCUCUGAAAACGCUUCUGCACCUCCUGCCGGACCAGAUGCUUCUUCUUCUUCUUCUUCCUCUCUCAGGAACAAAGAUGCAGCUGUCGCCUCUGAAUUCGUUGAGAUCAAAGCCCCUCAGCCAUCUGAUUCGUGUCCCGAUGUUCCGAUUGACUCCGACGAGUACCAGGCAAUGCUCAAGCGCCGUCUCGAUCUCGCAUGCGCCGCCGUUGCGCUUUCAAGGGCAUCUGUUGUUAAACCUCAAGAUUCAGCUCCUUCAGCUGACAGUGGAUCACAUGCUUCAGACACUUCACACUUGGGAUCUCAAGCUCCUAGUAAAGAGCCUGGAUAUGGUUUCUCAAGGAUACAAGAUCAGGCUUCAAGUGGACCAAUUGGCAUUCCAGCCUUACCUACCAUGCAGAAAAAUUCAGGGGUUCAAAUUAGGCCAACAACCAGUGGGUCAUCAAGAGAACAAUCAGACGAUGAUGAUCUUGAAGCAGAAACAGAAACAACUGAGAACAUGGAUCCUGCUGAUGCAAAACGUGUGAGGAGGAUGCUAUCAAAUAGAGAGUCUGCAAGGCGCUCUAGAAGAAGGAAGCAAGCUCAUUUGAGUGAACUUGAGGCACAGGUUGCACAGUUGAGAGUUGAAAACUCUUCAUUGCUGAAGCGUCUUGCUGACAUAAGUCAGAAGUACAAUGAAGCUUCUGUUGACAACAGAAUUCUGAAAGCAGAUGUUGAAACAUUGCGGGCAAAGGUGAAAAUGGCCGAAGAUACGGUUAAGAGAGUGACAGGGGUGAACCCUCUGCUUCCGACCAUGUCUGAUGUUUCAUCCAUUAGUAUGCCUUUCUCUGGCAGCCCAUCUGAUGCAGCCACUGAUGCUGCUGUCCCUGUUCAUGAAGACCCACAACACUUCUUUCAACCAACACAUGAUCGAAGAAUGAACUCUGCUGUUCCUGACAUUGCUCCUGCCCCUGCAAUUGAGGGUGUUCACAGUGCUGGAAACAAGAUGGGCCGGACAGUUUCCAUGCAAUGGGUGGCCAGCUUGGAACAUCUGCAAAAGCGGAUUCGUGAUGGAACAAACCCUUGUGGGCCUGUGCAAUGGGAAGGCGGGUGGGACCCGGAAUCCACCCAUACAGCAGAUGCCACUAAUAAGCAGAACCAAGUGUGAAUAUCUGCUGUUACAGUGGAAACUGCAAUAUUAUUUAGCAGCUGCCACGGUCGAGCUGCUGCAAGGAUUUGCCAAGCUGCAAUGAUUUAAUAUUGUUUAGGGAUGCUGUUCGCUGUGAUAGAAGGUGAAAAAGCUACAAAAGCCCAAGCAAUGGAUAAAAGUCCCCAAUACCAAGAGAAGACGAGGGAAUGACAUGGGUGGAGGUGGUAAGAGAAUACUUGAUGACCUAUGGUUUAAUGGAGAAUAUGGUCCUUGAUAGGGUGGAAUAGCGGGAAAGGAUUUGCAUGGCCAACCCCAAUUAGAUGGUGUAGGCUUAGAUUGAUGAUGAUGACGGCAACCAGAAGAUGAGGGAUCCCUUCCUAACUAGGGAAUUAGCUUCCCUUUGAAUUUGAUGAUAACCCAUCAGGAAACUCUCUCCGUCCUCUAACAUGGAUUCAGAAAUCGCAACGAAUUCUUCUGGACUUUUCUGUCGAUGCUUAAGGGAUUAGCUUCAAUUCUGUUGUUCCUUUCUUUCCAAAUCGCCCAUGUAAAGGCACACGGUAGCAUCUUCUAAAGAGCUGCUACUUGGGGGAAUGUAUAAUUUCAAGAACCUAAUGAAGAGGGCAGCUGGCUUACACAUGUAUAGCUAUGAGGGUUCUGGGAAAUAACUGGGCGCAACACCAAAAAUGUUCUUGGAUGAAAAUGAACCAUCAUCGUGCGUGUGCCCCUCCACCUGUGAGUGAUUAAGGGAGGCCUGUUUAGAAGAUCAAGAAUCACAACUACCAUGGUACCACAGCUUAGGAUGGAAAUGGAGCAACCAUACAACUUUUAACUUCAACAAGCUCAUAGGCAUCCUUGACAAGAGUGUUCCUUGUAGCUAGGAAAUGGAACCUUAGGAAACCUUGAAGCAAGUGGAAGCUCCUCCUACCUUCCACAUUCUCAUAGGAAUCCUUCAGAAGAGUGUUCCCUUUGGAUAGCAAAUGGAUCCUUGGAAAAUUUUAAGGGGAAGCUCCUCCAACUACCAGUAUUCCUUUAUUGAACUGAGCCUGUGUAGGAAGGGGAGCCUUAGAAACCUUGAAGAAAGGGGAAGCUCCUCCAACCAUGUUCCUUCUGUGAAGUGAGAAUCAACUAAGUUGAACUUUGCGGCCGGGGAUUGUAAGUGGGCCCUACAUGAUCCAACUAUGUAUGAGGUCAAGGAAUGCGUGACAAGAUGUGAAAUCAAUCCCAUGGCAAUCACUAUCGCGAGUGUGCUGCAUCAUCUUAUAACAAGUAUUGAACCUGAGUUACCUGUACUAUGUAUUUUUAUGCAUCGCUUGGCCAAAUGGUGUUUGUGGUUCGAGGGCCUGCUGGUAAUCUUGUAGCCUGGUCUGCUGUACCUUCAAGUCAUGGCUCAACCUUCCUAUUGGAAAAUCGUAGCCAGUGAUUGUUCCUUCUGAAUGUGGGUUGGUUGAUGAGCUGUCGAUUUGCUGGCCAGGCAAUUAAGAUAAACCAACACAGAAGAUCUUUGUCCGCGCAUAGGGAAUUCAUUAAGGCAAUUAAAGGUCUGGAUUACCUGAAUGUGAGCCUGCCUAUCAAUUUGCCACAAUGGUUGUUUUUUUUU